GAGUUUGAUCCUGGCUCAGAAUGAACGCUGGCGGCAGGCCUAACACAUGCAAGUCGAACGGAGUUAUAUUGUAGCUUGCUAUGGUAUAACUUAGUGGCAGACGGGUGAGUAAUGUAUAGGAAUCUACCUAGUAGUACGGAAUAAUUGUUGGAAACGGCAACUAAUACCGUAUACGCCCUACGGGGGAAAAAUUUAUUGCUAUUAGAUGAGCCUAUAUUAGAUUAGUUAGUUGGUGAGGUAAAGGCUUACCAAGACAAUGAUCUAUAGCUGAUCUGAGAGGAUGAUCAGCCACACUGGAACUGAGAUACGGUCCAGACUCCUACGGGAGGCAGCAGUGGGGAAUAUUGGACAAUGGGCGAAAGCCUGAUCCAGCCAUGCCGCAUGAGUGAAGAAGGCCUUCGGGUUGUAAAGCUCUUUUAGUGAGGAAGAUAAUGACGGUACUCACAGAAGAAGUCCUGGCUAACUCCGUGCCAGCAGCCGCGGUAAUACGGAGAGGGCUAGCGUUAUUCGGAAUCAUUGGGCGUAAAGGGCGCGUAGGCGGGUUAGUAAGUUAAAAGUGAAAUCCCAAGGCUCAACCUUGGAACUGCUUUUAAAACUGCUAGUCUAGAGAUUGAAAGAGGAUAGAGGAAUUCCUAGUGUAGAGAUGAAAUUCGUAAAUAUUAUGAGGAACACCAGUGGCGAA
rnacentral:rRNA from 2 species